ACGGAUCUGUCAAUCAUAAAUUAAACCAUAACAUUAGAACAUCAGAUGACGGGAAAACAAAAAGGGCAUGGAUGAUUGACAUAUGUCAAUGAAAAAUCGGAUGUACCCUUCUCCUUGCAGAAAAAAGAGAAAGAAAAGAAGUUGAAGAAGGAGAAGAAGUUGAAGAAGGAGAAGAAGUUGAAGAAGGAGAAGAAGUUGAAGAAGGAGAAGAAGUUGAAGAAGGAGUAGAAGUUGAAGCCGAAGGAGAAGAAGUUGAAGGAGAAGAAGUUGAAGAAGGAGAAGAAGUUAUAGAAGGAGAAGAAGUUGAAGAAGGAGAAUGUGAAGGUGGAGAAGAAGGCGCAGGAGAUGGCAAAGGAGAAGGCGAAGAAGAAGGCGAAGGAAAAUGAAAAGGAGAAGGAGCUAGGAAGAAGGAUUGAGAGAGUUGGAGAAGCAAAUGGAGGAAAAGAAAACAAUAUUGUCCUUACCAGCGCAGAAUCUGUUUUUAUGGGUGCUGAAAUUACACACUGAAUUCCACAGGAUACAAACUGAAUAAGCGAAAAGACACACAGAAUUCGGAAAGCAAUUCUCCAUCCAUGUAACUCUAAAAAAUGCUCCACUGCUGCUGAAAGAGCCAGUGUACCCAAGCCAGAUCCAGACAAAGUUAAACCAUUCGCAGUAACAAGACGCUUGCAAAAGUAUUCAUUCAAUAUCAAUAUUGAUGUGUAAUAGCACAGACUUCCACCAAAUCCAACCAUUACGGAAUAUGUCAGAAACAUCCGGCUCAGGUCAUCUACAAAAGAUGUUAAGAGAAGCCCAAGACUGAAGAAGACACUGCCUAUAAAUAAGGCAACACGGUUUCCAAGCUUAUGGCAUAUGAUCGUUGUUAUUGGUCCCAAUACGAACGAUAGGCCAAAUGCCAAUGAACCGACCAAUCCUAGAAGAAUAGGAAGGCAAGUGUAAAGAGGUAAUUAGUCACGAGGUAUAAAACAGAAGUAAGCAGGUAGGCGAGGAUGCAAGCAGGCAGGCGACGAUGCAAGCAGGCAGGCGACGAUGCAAGCAGACAAGCAGGCAAUAGUCCCUUUCACAUUUCCCUGCGCCAUAUUAAAAGGUAGCUGUGCCUUUGCAUCGAAGCGAGGCGAACGGUGAGCAGGCAAUGAUAGAGACUUUUUUUAACACCUUGGACAAUUAUUCACAUGUCUCUAUGCAUAAAGACACAGCUACCUUUCAAGAUGGCGCAGGGAACUGUGAAGGGGACUGUUAUGCAGACAAUCGUUGGGGCAAGUAUAGGUAAUGGAUCAUAUCCAAAAAAUGAACAUAUUAACAGCAGGCGUUGCGAAAAGAAAUCUCGCUACGACAGUAAAACGUUUUGUAGCAAAAAAAAAAAAAAAAAAAACAUCUUAAUUGUGAUGCAUAAAAGUGAUAAAAAGAAACACUAAAUCUACCUGUUUCCUAAAUCCUUUUUUGUUAUUUUUAACAGGUUUUUUCGUGCAUAAUUGAUUACAAUAUAAUUUGCGGUUUUUUUAAAUGGUUAAUGUAAAAUGAUGCCUUUCUUCUCUUUAUUUACUUGUUAGCUGAUUAUGAUUAUUGCAACUAUUAAUUUACGAUCAGCUUUCAUUCUUUCUAUAUAAUUGUUGAUAGACGUUUCGACCAGUGGUAAAAAUCAUUUCAUGAUAUACUCGUACAAUAAGUAGUGCUCGAAUGCGUCGAUAAUUAUUUCAAUUUUCAGCAUUCGCUCCACUAUUACACACACUCUAUUCUUAAUAUUCGUGCCGCCAAGAUUGUCGUCUGUAUAUUAGUAAAGAGUAAUUUUCUUUCUAUAUUUGUGCGAAAGAUUUUCGUCUGUUUGUAUAUUUAUAAAAGUUAACAACUUGUGA